GUGCCAGCCGCCGCGGUAAUACGGAGGGUGCGAGCGUUAAUCGGAAUUACUGGGCGUAAAGCGCGCGUAGGCGGUUAUACAAGCGAGAUGUGAAAUUCCCGGGCUUAACCUAGGGACUGCAUUUCGAACUGUAUGGCUAGAGUUUUGGAGAGGAGAGUAGAAUUCCCAGUGUAGCGGUGAAAUGCGUAGAGAUUGGGAGGAAUACCAGUGGCGAAGGCGGCUCUCUGGCCAAAAACUGACGCUGAGGUGCGAAAGCGUGGGGAUCAAACAGGAUUAGAAACCCUUGUAGUCC
rnacentral:rRNA from 1 species